rnacentral:rRNA from 1 species
UAGGGAAUCUUCGGCAAUGGACGGAAGUCUGACCGAGCAACGCCGCGUGAGUGAAGAAGGUUUUCGGAUCGUAAAGCUCUGUUGUAAGAGAAGAACGAGUGUGAGAGUGGAAAGUUCACACUGUGACGGUAUCUUACCAGAAAGGGACGGCUAACUACGUGCCAGCAGCCGCGGUAAUACGUAGGUCCCGAGCGUUGUCCGGAUUUAUUGGGCGUAAAGCGAGCGCAGGCGGUUAGAUAAGUCUGAAGUUAAAGGCUGUGGCUUAACCAUAGUACGCUUUGGAAACUGUUUAACUUGAGUGCAAGAGGGGAGAGUGGAAUUCCAUGUGUAGCGGUGAAAUGCGUAGAUAUAUGGAGGAACACCGGUGGCGAAAGCGGCUCUCUGGCUUGUAACCGACGCUGAGGCUCGAAAGCGUGGGGAGCAAACAGGAUUAGAUACCCUGGUAGUCCACGCCGUAAACGAUGAGUGCUAGGUGUUAGACCCUUUCCGGGGUUGAGUGCCGCAGCUAACGCAUUAAGCACUCCGCCUGGGGAGUACGACCGCAAGGUUG